GUUUGAAACUGAAGUCCAAGUUCUUAGCAAUUGUGCAAUACUGCCAGUCGCUGAGUGUGUACCCUGGGCCACGCCCUGGGCAGGGCACAGGUAAUAGAGGAAUUACCAAGGGAAGAUUGUGCCAUCUAGGAGUUCACCAGCCAGUAGGAAAGGCAGCCAUGGGGACAAGGAAGGAAGCACGGUUCAGCAAGCACAAGGACAGAGAUUCCUGAGCAUCUGGAUAUGGGGAAGAAGGCCAUCAACAUAUCAAUGACUUUGAGUACAUGUCUAGAAGGUGUAAGGCAGACAGGACUAGAAUGAGUUAAAAAACAACAACGAGAGCAACCUACAAUGAGGCAGAAGCAAAGGAAGGGGGUUGUUGAGAUAUAAGUGACCCAUUUUCCCAUCAGAGC
rnacentral:lncRNA from 1 species